rnacentral:sRNA from 1 species
ACGACAGCUCUGGGGACUGAAGUCCUCUGUGUAUCCACAGACCACGUACAACAUGGGUAGUAGCAGUGCAAGACAUGGCUCUGCCAAUAAGCCUCUUUUCUGUAGUAUGAAGAUAGCACUCUCUUCAUUCACUCCGUGCUCAUUCAUUGCUUGACUACU